UGUGUGUGUAAUAUGGACAUUGACAGACAUAA
rnacentral:piRNA from 1 species